rnacentral:rRNA from 1 species
CUACGGGUUGCUCCAGUGGGGAAUAUUGCACAAUGGAGGAAACUCUGAUGCAGCAACGCCGCGUGGAGGAUGACACUUUUCGGAGCGUAAACUCCUUUUAUAUAGGAAGAAGAUGACGGUACUAUAUGAAUAAGCGCCGGCUAACUCCGUGCCAGCAGCCGCGGUGAAUACGGAGGGCGCAAGCGUUACUCGGUAUCACUGGGCGUAAAGAGCGUGUAGGCGGAUUAAAAAGUCAGAAGUGAAAUCCUAUAGCUUAACUAUAGAACUGCUUCUGAAACUCUUAAUCUAGAAUAUGGGAGAGGUAGAUGGAAUUUCUGGUGUAGGGGUAAAAUCCGUAGAGAUCAGAAGGGAUACCGAUUGCGAAGGCGAUCUACUAGAACAUUAUUGACGCUGAGACGCGAAAGCGUGGGGAGCAAACGGGAUUAGAUACCCCAGUAGUC